UCUGAACUUUUUCUAAAAUUGCAAUUUAAUUCACAGGACUCGUUGAAUGUCCACAUGGUGGCACUGCAUCUUUAAAGACUGUUUUGCUCACACAGACACAGAUGAUCAUCUCUUGGAGCAAUGUGGACCCAGGGACCGCCAACUCAGAAACACCGGAGUGAGACUCACAUAGGCUGCAGUGCUGAGCUGAGGCGUGUGAAAGAUCCUGAGGAUGCAGGAAGCUGUACCAAGAUUGGGACCGCAGAGUCUCCACAUUUAGUCCCAAAUAAACAUUCACACUGAAAGUUGGAAAAAGGUAAAUGUCUCAUGUCACGGCUAUGCUGAGAACGGAAACAUGGCAGGAAGAAGCUGCUCUCUAGUGUCGAAGCUGAAGAUUGUUCUCUGUCCGGGGCAGUUCCACCUUGGGAAGUGUGAGGCUCCAGAGGAGCACAGAAACAUACCCACACUGGGUUGGAAGUCCAAUAAGAUCCUGGGGAAGACUCAUCGGGAGUUGGUGACAGGCAGUGGGAUCGGAUUAAAACAAGCUUAUUGCCUGCGCUCUGCCUACGCACUGAUUUGGAGGUGUUGAAUCUGCAGCGGAACAGACGAUCUAAGGAGGAAAGACACAAAAUAAUGAGCACUUACAUAUCUAAUAUGUAUUAUCUAUCUGUGUUUCAAAUUUUAAAAAUCUUACCUGUGUCAGGUGAAGUUGGAGGCACCAAGUUACUCCUCAUAAUAAAGUGGUCUGCAGUGUC